UACGUAGGGUGCGAGCGUUGUCCGGAAUUAUUGGGCGUAAAGGGCUCGUAGGCGGUUUGUCACGUCGGGAGUGAAAACUCGGAGCUCAACUCCGAGCCUGCGUUCGAUACUGGACGGCUAGAGUCUGGUAGGGGGAUCUGGAAUUCCUGGUGUAGCGGUGGAAUGCGCAGAUAUCAGGAGGAACACCGGUGGCGAAGGCGGGAUCCUGGGCCAGUACUGACGCUGAGGAGCGAAAGCGUGGGGAGCAAACAGG
rnacentral:rRNA from 1 species